rnacentral:rRNA from 1 species
UGCGAGUCAGAACGCCCCGCAAGGGGAGUGGCAGACGGGUGAGUAACGCGUGGGAAUCUACCGUGCCCUGCGGAAUAGCUCCGGGAAACUGGAAUUAAUACCGCAUACGCCCUACGGGGGAAAGAUUUAUCGGGGUAUGAUGAGCCCGCGUUGGAUUAGCUAGUUGGUGGGGUAAAGGCCUACCAAGGCGACGAUCCAUAGCUGGUCUGAGAGGAUGAUCAGCCACAUUGGGACUGAGACACGGCCCAAACUCCUACGGGAGGCAGCAGUGGGGAAUAUUGGACAAUGGGCGCAAGCCUGAUCCAGCCAUGCCGCGUGAGUGAUGAAGGCCUUAGGGUUGUAAAGCUCUUUCACCGGAGAAGAUAAUGACGGUAUCCGGAGAAGAAGCCCCGGCUAACUUCGUGCCAGCAGCCGCGGUAAUACGAAGGGGGCUAGCGUUGUUCGGAAUUACUGGGCGUAAAGCGCACGUAGGCGGAUAUUUAAGUCAGGGGUGAAAUCCCANAGCUCAACUCUGGAACUGCCUUUGAUACUGGGUAUCUUGA